AAGCAUAUUAACUCAAUUUACAUUUUCUUAAUUCUUAUGGGUUACUUUACCCAAAAUUGAACCACCGUCAAAAUUUGAGUGCAACAGUAAAAAUCAGAGUCUCGAAUCCAUUGGGUUCUCCAAUUUUCGCCAUUGCAAACAGCUAAAAUUCCACCAAAUCCCAGCUCGAAUUUGGAACCCAGAUCGCCGAAUCUCGUAUGGUGGCGUUAAAAGUCCGGCGGGCACCUCACGUAGGCCUCAGCCGUUUCCGCCUCUUCGCAGACUCUUCUGACCUUCCCCAAAGGUUCAGUGAACCUUUUGUUCUGUGUCUGGCCAGAUCCAAUUCUAUCUCCUCCCACUGUCCUUGGAAAUCCCAAUGCCACCACCACCAAGUAGACCUUUUUCUAUAUAAAUUCUUCUUUUUAUUCUUUAAUAAGUAACCCCCUUCAAUUUAGGCUUUGUUUCUAAGGCAUUUUCUUUCCUGUAAUCUGGGUUUUUGUGGGUCCAACACACUCUCUCUCUCUUGAUUUUAACAACUUGGCAACUUCAUUCAAUUUCAAGUUCCAAAACAAGAGAGAGAGAGAGAGAGAGAGA